UCGUUUACACUGGCUGCUCGUUAGCAUCGACGGUUUAAUUUAUGCUGACUGGAUGGAAAACGCACACUCUGGGGGGGAAAGUGUUAUAAAUGAGCUAAACGAGGCCAUCGUAUAGACCAGAAUUCUUUCAAGGCUUGGACGUCACGAAGGAGACAUCCUGUACCGAGUAAAUAGAAAGAUGGCUGAGUGGUGACCAUUAGCAAGGAAUAGCAGUGCUCGACGUAGUUUUAAACAAAUCGCAGUAGACAACGUGACCAGUAUUCAAAUGAAG